UACGUAGGGUGCAAGCGUUAUCCGGCAUUAUUGGGCGUAAAGAGCUCGUAGGCGGUUUGUCACGUCUGCUGUGAAAACUGGAGGCUCAACCUCCAGCCUGCAGUGGGUACGGGCAGACUAGAGUGCGGUAGGGGAGAUUGGAAUUCCUGGUGUAGCGGUGGAAUGCGCAGAUAUCAGGAGGAACACCGAUGGCGAAGGCAGAUCUCUGGGCCGUAACUGACGCUGAGGAGCGAAAGCAUGGGGAGCGAACAGG
rnacentral:rRNA from 1 species